UACGGGGGGAGCAAGCGUUGUUCGGAUUUAUUGGGCGUAAAGAGCGUGUAGGCGGCCAGGUAGGUCUGCUGUGAAAACUCGAGGCUUAACCUCGAGCUGUCGGCGGAAACCAUCUGGCUAGAGUCCGGAAGAGGAGAAUGGAAUUCCCGGUGUAGCGGUGAAAUGCGUAGAUAUCGUAAGGAAGACCAGUGGCGAAGGCGGGUCUCUGGACAGUUCCUGACGCUGAGGCACGAAGGCCAGGGGAGCAAACGGG
rnacentral:rRNA from 1 species